rnacentral:rRNA from 1 species
CAAAAACAUAGCUGUGUGAUGUUACACAUAGUAUUUUCUGCUCAAUGAGAUUUAAAUAGCCGCAGUACCCUGACUGUGCAAAGGUAGCGUAAUCAGUUGUCUUUUAAUUGAAGUCUUGCAUCAAUGAACAUAUGGGGGCCUACUAUACCAGUAGUAUUAAAUGAAUUUACUUAAAGAGUGAAAAUACUCUUAUAAUUUAAUAGACGAGAAGACCCUAGAAAUUUUGACAAAGUGUUUUUGUUGGGGCAACAUGGUAACAUAUAACUUACCAUAUGGACAAGGAAAGGUUUCGUAAGGAGAAAUUACUCUAGGGAUAACAGCAUAAUGUAUAAUCGUUUGUGACCUCGAUGUUGGAUUAGGAAGUUAUAGCUUAAAAGGUAUUUAAUUUUGCUCUGUUCGAGCA